rnacentral:rRNA from 1 species
GACGGAGGGGCUAGCGUUGUUCGGAAUUACUGGGCGUAAAGCGUGCGUAGGCGGCCUUUCAAGGUUGGGUGUGAAAGCCCGGGGCUCAACCCCGGAAAUGCGCCCAAGACUGUUUGGCUAGAGUCUCGGAGAGGUGAGUGGAACUCCCAGUGUAGAGGUGAAAUUCGUAGAUAUUGGGAAGAACACCAGUGGCGAAGGCGGCUCACUGGACGAGUAACUGACGCUGAGGCACGAAAGCGUGGGGAGCAAACAGGG